rfam:Anas platyrhynchos breed Pekin duck contig119996, whole genome shotgun sequence.
UAAAAGGUUUUAUUUAAAACUACAUCUUUAUUAAAAUUAGGCUGUC